CCGUACCAAUAUCUCGGUAACCGACAUAGUUGGUUACUAACAUUUUCGGUUCGGGUGGUAAUCGGUUGGUUGGUUUGGAUCGGGAGAAAAUGCCAGCCCUAACACUUGUUGUAUGUGUGCCCAUUGCAUGAUGAAAAGGGACAUAUAUCCAUAUGUGUGGUUAUUCACCGAAUCAGAACCUGAAAAAGAAGAAGAAUCACCCAGACACUCAGAUCGUUUUGAGGUCAUUCACAGUCCAAGUUUUGAGGUGCUUCCUGAGGCCAUCGGAAUCGUUCAGCCAAACUAAGGAUGUGAAUUGAUUGAGAUUGAGGACCCGAAAAGAUGACCCGCACCGUAGCCUAAAAUUUUCGUAUUCAUCGUAUUUCUCCCGGGUUGGUUUCGCGAUGGAGGACCCGCCUAUUUCAUUUCAUUCGAAUUUCCUCUCUUUCCCUAUAUUCCACACCAACUUAGCCUCCGCCUAGAGAGAGGAAGCUUCCACCUUUCAAAUCAAACUCGGAGAAAUCAAGGUAUAUAUCAGUUGCUAUGGUUAAAGUUUCAAUCUUUUUACUGGUCCGUGAAUUUUGGUGUUUGGGUAUGGUCAGUUCGCUAAUUUCUAUCAUUCUGUCACUGUAUCUUAUGUUUAUUUGAACUGGGAGAAUGCAUUCAAGGAGAAAAAUGUCAACUCUUUGUCUCUGUAGAAUGGUAAAAUUUAGAGCUAAAUGCACUUUAACUUGCUGAGUC